rnacentral:snRNA from 1 species
AAAAUUACUGGCGGGGAGAUACGAGGAUCAUGAAGGUGGUUUUCCCGGGGUGAGGCUCAUUCAUUGCACUCCAGAUGUGCUGACCCCUGCAAUGUCCCCAAAUGUGGGAAACUGGACUGCAAAAUUUGUGGUAGUGGGGGACUGUGUUUGUGCUUUCUCCUG